GACGGACGCUGGCGGCGUGCUUAACACAUGCAAGUCGAACGAUGAAGCCGGAGCUUGCUCUGGUGAAUUAGUGGCGAACGGGUGAGUAACACGUGAGUAACCUGCCCUUGACUCUGGGAUAACUGCGGGAAACUGUAGCUAAUACCGGAUACGACCCUCGGAGGCAUCUCCUGGGGGUGGAAAGAAUUUCGGUCAAGGAUGGACUCGCGGCCUAUCAGCUAGUUGGUGAGGUAAAGGCUCACCAAGGCGACGACGGGUAGCCGGCCUGAGAGGGUGACCGGCCACACUGGGACUGAGACACGGCCCAGACUCCUACGGGAGGCAGCAGUGGGGAAUAUUGCACAAUGGGCGCAAGCCUGAUGCAGCAGCGCCGCGUGAGGGAUGACGGCCUUCGGGUUGUAAACCUCUUUUAGUAGGGAAGAAGCGAAAGUGACGGUACCUGCAGAAAAAGCACCGGCUAACUACGUGCCAGCAGCCGCGGUAA
rnacentral:rRNA from 1 species